GUGGGGAAUAUUGGACAAUGGGGGGAACCCUGAUCCAGCCAUGCCGCGUGUGUGAAGAAGGCCUUAUGGUUGUAAAGCACUUUAAGCGAGGAGGAGGCUACUUUGGUUAAUACCCAGAGAUAGUGGACGUUACUCGCAGAAUAAGCACCGGCUAACUCUGUGCCAGCAGCCGCGGUAAUACAGAGGGUGCGAGCGUUAAUCGGAUUUACUGGGCGUAAAGCGUACGUAGGCGGCUUUUUAAGUCGGAUGUGAAAUCCCUGAGCUUAGCUUAGGAAUUGCAUUCGAUCCUGGGAAGCUAGAGUAUGGGAGAGGAUGGUAGAAUUCCAGGUGUAGCGGUGAAAUGCGUAGAGAUCUGGAGGAAUACCGAUGGCGAAGGCAGCCAUCUGGCCUAAUACUGACACUGAGGUGAGAAAGCAUGGGGAGCAAACAGGAUUAGAAACCCGGGUAGUCC
rnacentral:rRNA from 1 species